rnacentral:lncRNA from 1 species
AACCCCACCUACGGAAGAACGUAGGUUAGACGGGGAACACAUCGGCAAGAGUGAACCUCACCUACGGAAACGUAGUGUUAGACGAGGGAUAUACUCAAAAGUGAACCCCACCUACGGAAGAUAGUAGGUUAGACGGGGAACACAUCGGCAAGAGUGAACCUCACCUACGGAAACGUAGUGUUAGACGAGGGAUAUACUCAAAAGUGAACCCCACGUACGGAAGAACGUAGGUUAGACGGGGAACACAUCGACAAGAGUAAACCUCACCUACGGAAACGUAGUGUUAGAUGAGGAACGUACUCAAAAAUGAACCCCACCUACGGAAGAACGUAGGUUAGACGGGGGACACGUCGGCUAAACACACACCCCAUUCUACAAAAAUGUAGACGGAGGGGCAAGUGUCCAAGAGUAAACCUCACCUACGGAAGAACGUAGGUUAGACGAGGGACGUACUCAACAACAAUCCUCACCUACGGAUGAACGUAGGUAGACG